GAGUGUUUCUGUGCAAUGCAAAUUGCUUUGGCUUCCACACAGCUCCUGUCGCUUCAAGUGCGGAUGGUUAAUGGGACCUGGACUGGAAAAGGAUUGUUUGUGUGGGAAUCAUUCAUGGCAAAGGCAGUGACACCUCCUUCAAAAACCUGUGUCUUUCUGGCAGAGUGUUGCUGGAGAUGGCCACUGGAGAGGCUGAGUCAAAUCAAUCUCCUCACCUGAGGACUUCCUAAGACCAGCGCACUGAAGGACCAGCAGCAACAACAACAAUAAUGCUAAUGCUCCCUUAUGGACAAGACUGCAAUUCUCUGCCUGCUGAAGCUCAGCUAUGACCACGUGACUUGCCUUGGCCAAUGAAAGAGGAAGAGUAUGUAACACUGCUGAAUGGAAGCAAGUGGCCCCUGCCCCUGCUGCAGAGAUUCUAGACAUGUGUGCCAUGCUGGAGCAAGGAGACAGGGAGUCCUGGAGAAAGGAGACAUGGAACAGAGCUCCCAGCCCAGUCAAUAUGUAACAUGAGUGAGAAAUAAAUAACACUUUGUUGCUAGAA
ensembl:lncRNA LINC03064 long intergenic non-protein coding RNA 3064